CCUACGGGUGGCAGCAGUGGGGAAUAUUGCACAAUGGGCGAAAGCCUGAUGCAGCAACGCCGCGUGAAGGAAGACGGUUUUCGGAUUGUAAACUUCUGUUCUUAGUGAAGAAUAAUGACGGUAACUAAGGAGCAAGCCACGGCUAACUACGUGCCAGCAGCAGCGGUAAUACGUAGGUGGCAAGCGUUGUCCGGAAUUACUGGGUGUAAAGGGAGCGUAGGCGGGAAGCCAAGUCAGCUGUGAAAGCUACGGGCUUAACCUGUGGACUGCAGUUGAAACUGGCUUUCUUGAGUGAAGUAGAGGUUGGCAGAAUUCCGAGUGUAGCGGUGAAAUGCGUAGAGAUGCGGAGGAACACCGGUGGCGAAGGCGGCCAACUGGGCUUGAACUGACGCUGAGGCUCGAAAGUGUGGGGAGCAAACAGGAUUAGAUACCCUUGUAGUC
rnacentral:rRNA from 1 species